CUUCUACAACUUCCCGAUUAUGAUCACCAAGGUCAAUGUGCAAAGCUGUAACUCCUUUUGUUCGAGCAGUUCCAUAUUGUGGUUCUUUUCCUUAAUCUUUAUCCUUUCUCUUUCUCCCUAGCCUGUAAUUUCUAGACUGUUGUCUGUCAGCCAGGGGAGAUAUAGAGAGGUGAUUUCACUGCUCAGCAAAUUAUUGUUAUUAGCACAAGCUGCAUCCGUAAUGAGUUCAUUCUUGCUUCUAAAAACAAUUCCAUUACCUGAUAAGACAAAAUUUCCUGGGCUAACCGGACCUCUUGUCAGGACGAUUAAACCUUUAGGGGUCACUUUUUUCUUUCUAUGCAAGACAGCCCCUGGAAGCCAGCACCGGGAGAGGACAAUGACAUUCUCCAUCCCCGCUCCAUAUCCCAGUGGUGACCAGCUGGCCCUAAACAGUAUAUCAAUCAUGGCUUUAACCUUAUUUAGGCACAGCUGUGAAGUGUGGGAACGGGGCAGGCUUCCAUGGUACAUAUCUCAAUUCCACUUUUUUUUUUGCUGGCUGUGUGACUCUGGUUACUUUCCUUAACCUUUGAGCAUCAAAUUUCUAAUUGCAAAAUGAAGAUAACAAAAGAGGCUACCUAGUAGCAUGGUUAAGAAGAUUAAAACAAUAAGCAGGGGUGGAGCAGGGUGAGUAACUUAGUGGUAGAGCAUUUGCCUAGCAUUUGGGAGUACUUGGUUGUUUUGAUCAGAGAGAGAGAGAGAGAGAGAGAGAGAGAGACUGAGAGUUAGGGUCACAUAGAUAAUAAGUGGAAGACCCAGGCAGACUGAGGCCUGGUCUGUAUGCUUAACCUUUAAAGCACAUGGAUCUCCUCCUUGGCCGUUUUCACAGUACUAUGAGAUACUCGUAAAUGAGUCACGGUUUCACACAAUCAGUUCCAAAAGAUAAAAUAGAUGAGAAGACAAGCAAUAGGAAUACAGUGUAAUAAACUUGAGUGAGGGACCCAGCACCACCGGGUUAGGAUUGUUGCAAGCCAGGCUUUUAGGGGUCCUCCUGCCUGUUGGUGCCACCUAACUGCUGAGUGAUUUUUUUGCAGGAAAUUUAAUUGCUCCAAGCUUCAGUUUUCUAUUAUAAGAUGAUGCUAACACCUUCCUCCUGAGCUUGUUUUAGAGGAUUAAAUGAAAAAAUGCACACAAAGGGCUUAGCAGGACAUUUUGCAAGCAUAAAAUUUGCAGGCCUCCUGUUUCCUGUUGACCACAGCUAACAGCUCCUGGAAAGAAAGACAACAAAGGCAAAAGCUAAAAGGCUCAGUAAAGGAUGAAGACGGGACUUCUUCAUCUCCACACUCUGUUCUCAGGCCUUGCAGCCCAGCCUCCUGUCCCACUCCAUGAGUUAGAAGAGUUCCAGUCUUGGCUUCUUUCUUCCCAGAAGGCCUUUGGGUUCCUUGAGCAAAUUACUUCUCCUGAAAGCAUCCCAGGCUUGCCCUGCUGCCAGGUGAAGGGGUUUGUCUGGAUUCUCCAAAGAGUGGGAGGCAGCAAGCGCCUCACCUCUCCUGAACUGCUUCGGGCACCAUCUGGAAAGGGCCCCAGCCUGAUGUUCUUCAGCUGUCAUUUCUGACAGGCACCAUCCUGAAAGCCACACAAGGGAACCCUCUCUGGGUCUCUCUAGCUUCAAUGGGGCUCUCUGCCUUCCACAAUCUCAGACCCUGUCAGGCUCUGGGCUCUGUUAACAGUGGCCUGAAGCCACUUCCAUUUGCUGAAACUCACUCCCACAUUUUGUGAGCAUUUAAAGUAUUUGUCAGUCUAGCUCACUAAUUGCAUUUCUGAUAAUUUUAUAAUUCCUGUGUACAUUUGUUACAUCUGCAGCUUUGAGAAGUUGGGGUUGUUUUGCUUUCUUGUUCUUUUCCUCAUUUUAUCUAUUUAAGAGCACUGUGAGGACCUUUUUAGCCAAUGUGUCUGAAAACUUCUUCUAUUACAUUGAUUGUCUUGAAAGCAGCAUUUUAUAUGAGUGCUAUCUCAGCUUCCUGCUGUGAAGGUCAUAAAUCACUAAGGCCUUCUUUCUAAGCCAGAGUUGAAAACGUUUUUUAUAAAGGGUCAAAUAAUAAAUACUUUACGCUUUGUGGGUCAUAUGAGCCAUUUUAGUAGAUGUUAAAGUUUAGAUCUAAAAUGGCCCUAAAAGUUUCAUGUGUUUGGAAGGUGACUGGACUCUGGGGUACAAUUCUCAUCAGCGGACUCAUCCACAUUCAUGGUAGCUGAAUGUACCAUGAGGAGGUGGGGCCUGGUUGAAAGUCAGUCACGGGGUAUGUGUUCUGGAGGGGAGUACUUUUGCUUCCUGCUCCUUUUUCUCUCUGUUUCCUGGCUGCCAUGAGUUGAGCACCCUUUCUUUGCCAUGCCCUGUUGCCAUGCUGUUUUUAUUUUUUUAUUUUUUUGGUACCAGGGAUCGAACUCGGGACUUUGUGCUGGUGAGGUGGGUGGCAGAACCACUGAGCUAAAUCCCUGGCCCUUUGACAUGCUGUUUCUACCUUGGAGUCAGUGGACCAGGGACUGAAAUCAUAAGCCAAAAUAAAUCUUUAAAUUGCAGGCAUUGCAUAUUUUUCGGGAAAGUGACUAAUACAGCAGGAAGGCAGCUUGUGACAUUAUAUAAACGACUGAUAGCUGCUAUGUUCAGAUAAAACUUUGUUGAUAAACACUGAAAUUGUAAUUUCAUAUAAUUUUCAUGUAUCAUGAAAUAUUCAUCUUUUGAAUCUUUAAGAAGCCAUUAAAAAAUGUGAGAGUCAUUUUUAGCUGGGAGGGACAUACAAAGAACAGUUGGCCGUAAUUCACCCACCCCUGCCAUUAAACCACCACUCAAGCACGAUGCUAGCCAGAAUCUAGUUGUGAUUAAUUUUGUUUUCAGUGUGGGUCAGGCGUGCAUCCCUUUGAGAAACACCCCCUUGGAGGAUUCCAGAAACAGAGUCUCCUGCAGCCAGAGCAUUGAGAAUACAGCCCAAGCCCACUGCCAAGAGGGAGGGGGCAAAGAAAGAUUUGAAGCUUGCAUUAGCUGGGAGUAAGCCUGCAAUGGCUUCAGAGAAAAGGCAGAAACAAAGGCCUGAGAGAGUCUUUUCAUACCCUGCAUUAAAGAUAAAAUCUAAUUUAGAUGAAAAUGGAUGCAUAGAAAUUAAAUGUGUGCGUGUGUGGUUUUUGUUGUCAAGCCAUAUAUCCUGUAAUGAUAGCUUUACUAAAUUUAUUCCCUUGCCUUGAAAAUAAA
ensembl:lncRNA